rnacentral:lncRNA from 1 species
UGGGUGUUAGCAGUUGAUUUUGCCUGGACUUCUAGACUCUUUUCUAAUGCACUGAGUUUUUUUUUAUUAUUAUUAUUGUAGCCUGGUGGGUUGUUUACUAUAGGAUUAAACCUUGGAUUUGGCUGGUUGAAGCUGGGUCAGCCUGUAUUAGGACUUUGUGAUCAGAAAAUAUUGGGAUGGUUCCUCCACCUUAGAUUGUAAGUUGGUGCAUAGGGGUCAUUAAUAAGUUUCUGAUAGGUUGCAU